rnacentral:rRNA from 1 species
CAAUAGCGUAUAUUUAAGUUGUUGCAGUUAAAAAGCUCGUAGUUGGAUUUCGGUUAAGAGCGACCGGUCCGCCGUUUGGUGUGCACUGGUUGGUUUUAACUUCCUGUAGAGGACGUGCUCUGGGUUUAACGACCUGGACUCGGAGUCUGCGUGGUUACUUUGAAAAAAUUAGAGUGUUCAAAGCGGGCUUACGCUUGAAUAUUUCGGCAUGGAAUAACACUAUAGGACUCCUGUCCUAUUUCGUUGGUCUCGGGACGGGAGUAAUGAUUAAGAGGAACAGUUGGGGCAUUCGUAUUUCAUUGUCAGAGGUGAAAUUCUUGGAUUUAUGAAAGACGAACUUCUGCGAAAGCAUUUGCCAAGGAUGUUUUCAUUAA